rnacentral:rRNA from 1 species
GACGAACGCUGGCGGCGUGCCUAACACAUGCAAGUCGAGCGAUGAAGCUUCCUUCGGGAAGUGGAUUAGCGGCGGACGGGUGAGUAACACGUGGGUAACCUGCCUUAUAGAGGGGGAUAGCCUUCCGAAAGGAAGAUUAAUWCCGCAUAACAUAUUUUYUUUGCAUGAAGGAAAUAUCAAAGGAGCAAUCCGMUAUAAGAUGGACCCGCGGCGCAUUAGCUAGUUGGUGAGGUAACGGCUCACCAAGGCGACGAUGCGUAGCYGACCUGAGAGGGUGAUCGGCCACAUUGGAACUGAGACACGGUCCAGACUCCUACGGGAGGCAGCAGUGGGGAAUAUUGCGCAAUGGGGGAAACCCKGACGCAGCAACGCCGCGUGAAUGAAGAAGGCCUUAGGGUUGUAAAGUUCUGUCAUAUGGGAAGAUAAUGACGGUACCA